rnacentral:rRNA from 1 species
UACGGGGGGGGCGAGCGUUGUUCGGAAUUAUUGGGCGUAAAGGGCGCGUAGGCGGUGCGGUAAGUCUGAUGUGAAAACUCCAGGCUCAACUUGGAGAUUGCAUUAGGAACUGCCGUGCUAGAGUGUGGGAGAGGAAAGUGGAAUUCCCGGUGUAGCGGUGAAAUGCGUAGAUAUCGGGAGGAACAUCGGUGGCGAAGGCGGCUUUCUGGACCACAACUGACGCUGAGGCGCGAAAGCUAGGGGAGCAAACAGG